AAUGAAAUCAUUAAGGAUUUAUCAUGAAAGAUCAUAUAUAUGGCAUGGUACAGGAUGAAAAACAAGUUCAUGAUUUUGGAAAUGAAGUAAUCUGAAAAAUGUUCAAAUUUAGGUACUAUUCAACAUUGAUCAUAUAUACAUGAAUGGCGACUUUUGUACCAAACCUCUUCUAUGUAUACAAACAUUUUGAGUGAAAAUAUAUUUAACUUUUUUGAGAUAAAGAAAAUGAUUUAACCUGAAAAUAAAGUUCGACCCUCAAAAUAUUCCGUGAGUUUAUUAUAAAUUGGUACCAAACUAUGUAAAAAGUAUAAUAAAAAGAAAGCCAAAAUAAAUAUGGUCUAUAAUAAUAAGCCCGUUAUCGGAAAAAAAAUGUAUUUUCUUUGUUCCAAAAUAACCAGUCGACAUAUAAGCCACUGAGCUGGAUCUAACUUUAAAUGGGAAGCUUGCAUUUCCUAAAUCUAGAAGUUUGGCACCUCAUUUCUAAAUUUGAUAAUGUGUCAUGUGAAAAUUUUAUUAUAACAUCAACUUGCACAUCUGCAUAUACAUGCACAUAUACCGAAUACAUAUGAUAAUAUGAUAUUUGGUCGGUCCAUUUUAUGGGACCAAUGCCAACACUUGUUUGAUUUGGGAAACUAUAUGUGUGUGUGUAUACACAUAUGCAUAUUCAUUUCUAAGGUUAGGCAGUUAGGUUAAGAAAAUCACUUUUACCAAAUUGUCAUUAAUCAGAACGAAUUAAUUUCUUUGAAAAUCAAAUACUAUUAAUCUUCCAUUUGAGAGAAAUUAUUAUUAUUCCCUCAUAGCCAUCAUUUUCAGAAGAAUGUAGAAAAAUUUUAUAGUAGCUUCCCCCUCGAAUGUAAAAGUUAGACGUCGAACAAUUAUUUGCAAGUAUGGUUUAGGGUAUGUUAUCCAUUGCAUUAUUGUGUAUGAAAAUUGAAUGGGCAAGAUCGAGUAGUUUGCCCAAAAAAAAAAUAUUUGCAACAUGGGACUUUGCUAAAUCGACAAUUUUUGGAAAAUUAAUUGAUGGAUGAAAUUUAUUCCUCAGCAGAAAUUUUCAGGCCUUCAUCCGCACGUUGAAAAUUCAUUGCCACGAAAUUUCCUCACGUGUUGUAAUCUAUUUGGUGGCUAGGAAUUGCCCCAACCCCCCAUGGCAAAUCUUUUCCUCCCCUCUUGCGAGCUGUGUGCUUAUAAGAUGUGCUCCCUAACUGUAUGGAUCGUACCCUCAAGAAUGUUCCUUUCCUCAAAGAGAAUAUAGUGGAAAACAUGACAAGAAGAGUUCCCUCACGGUUCGACUAUGACGGAGAUCGUGAUGGUUUUGAGAUGUGAUUGCAGGGAUUCCCCAUUUACCAGUGACGCUGACGGAGUGAAUGAAGACCGAGCUUAUCAGUUAUUUCUGCUGCAUUCAUCGCAUUCGGAAGAUCUUGCUUGUUGGCAAA